AAGUCGUAACAAGGUCUCCGUUGGUGAACCAGCGGAGGGAUCAUUACUGAGUUGAAAAACUCCAACCCCUGUGAACAUAACCUCUGUCGUUGCUUCGGCGGGCACGCCCGCCGGAGGUUCAAAACUCUUAUUUUUUUCAGUAUCUCUGAGCCUAAAAGACAAAUAAUCAAAACUUUCAACAACGGAUCUCUUGGUUCUG
rnacentral:misc_RNA from 1 species